CGCGGGGUGGAGCAGCCUGGUAGCUCGUCGGGCUCAUAACCCGGAGGUCGUCGGUUCAAAUCCGACCCCCGCAACCA
rnacentral:tRNA from 2 species